AUACUAAGUAAACAACACAGUUCUAUGUUAACAUUCACCCUAAUUAUAUCUGUAAUUGCGGAAGCUUCUAAUCAAGGGAUAACCCGAUUAACUGAUUAAAGAAAAUCCUCGAUGAAUCGUGUCAAUCACGUAGCGCGAAGAAUCGACGACCCCGCUUAUGGCAUCGACGACACAAAGGAGUAGAAAAUCGAAGAUCGACGACGCGAAUGGAUCGCGGCUUUGUUCUCGCGGCGAACAAAGAGACAUUUUAAUGAGCAGCGGGGUUAAUCGAAUGUUUGUGGGUAAACCAAACGUCGACGCGAGCUGCGCGCACGGCAUAACAAUGGCCGCCGAAAAUAAUAUGAGGGAAAGGCGGAAGUCUUGAUCGGCGUUUUUACAGGAUAAACUCAAAACACAAAAAACAACGGCGGCAUUUUGAAUGUUUAAAGGAACAAAGAGGAAUAGAUAAUCAGACGUACCGCCGUGAAUCAAUGAAUUCUUCUGUUUCUUCCUGCAUGCGCGUCAAAGUGUCCGCGUGCUUUUUACUCUCACUAAGGAUAAAACAUGAACGCCGAGUAUUCUUUAAAGGUAAUAAAAGGAGAUACAACGAACGAGAGAAACACCAGGAAACAAGAUUAUACCUCCGUGACUUUGCUGCCGAUCUUGCGCAUCACGUUCCACCAGCUAAUCGAAAGCUUCGAGAGUUCUGAGAAUAAUUGGAUGCGCUCAUAGCGGAUAAUCCCCCGGACGAGGCUAUUUCACCGUUUUAUGGCUUCUUUCGAAGGAAAUUUUAAUCGCCGAGUGUCAUAUCAUAACUUUAGUUGUCAAUAAACAGUCUUUAAAAAAAAAAAAAAUUGUAUUCUACGUUUAUAAAAUAUGCCACUGGCGGAUACUUUCUCUCUGAAUCUAGUGCCCGAAAAAAUGGUCGCCGCCCAUGUGUUAGCCUGACAAAUUUGAACAAUACCCAACAAGGAACACAAGAUAAAUUCUAUUAAAAUUCUGUAAUCAAAACAACAAAACUUUCUCUUGUCUUAAUCACAAUACCCUAUAAAUUGCGUAGAUUUCUUUUUCUCCGACUAAUAUUUCAACAUGGCCGCCGCAUACGUCGACCCCUUAUGGAACAACGCAGGAGGAAGCCUCCCCCCCCCCCCCCCCCCCAAGCCCAUAAGUGGAAUUAUAUUCCGCACGUUCCACGGUAGUAUGUUUCUCGACAGAGUUUGCAAAUGUUCCUCCGCAGUGAGUAUUUGCAUUUUAUCGGUCGAUUUCAUUGUCUGAACCCUACCGUUAAU